CAGUCUAGCCAGAAAGAGGCCACACAGCCCCUCCCCACUCUGAAGAAAAGCAGCCUGAGGGAGGCUUGUCAAACAGAAGGCCCGGAGAACCAGAAGUGCGGGGCCUGAUGGUUUGAGUCAUUUCCCAUGUCAAGAGUGGAAGCCAAAUCACGAAGGUGACCGUGCAGGCAGCUUCUCGGUCCCAGAGGAAUGGAAAGGAGCUGAGUGGGAUUCUUCCUGACACCAAUAGUAGCACACCCUGGAUGGUCCUUCAAAGUCUUCACCUCCUUCCCUGGCUAAUAUCUUUUAUACCUCA